rnacentral:rRNA from 1 species
AUUGAACGCUGGCGGCAGGCCUAACACAUGCAAGUCGAGCGGAUGAAGGGAGCUUGCUCCUGGAUUCAGCGGCGGACGGGUGAGUAAUGCCUAGGAAUCUGCCUGGUAGUGGGGGAUAACGUCCGGAAACGGGCGCUAAUACCGCAUACGUCCUGCGGGAGAAAGUGGGGGAUCUUCGGACCUCACGCCAUCAGAUGAGCCUAGGUCGGAUUAGCUAGUUGGUGGGGUAAAGGCCUACCAAGGCGACGAUCCGUAACUGGUCUGAGAGGAUGAUCAGUCACACUGGAACUGAGACACGGUCCAGACUCCUACGGGAGGCAGCAGUGGGGAAUAUUGGACAAUGGGCGAAAGCCUGAUCCAGCCAUGCCGCGUGUGUGAAGAAGGUCUUCGGAUUGUAAAGCACUUUAAGUUGGGAGGAAGGGCAGUAAGUUAAUACCUUGCUGUUUUGACGUUACCAACAGAAUAAGCACCGGCUAACUUCGUG